rfam:Eubacterium sp. An11 An11_contig_15, whole genome shotgun sequence.
CAGCAUUACUCUGGAGAGUCUUUACCGGCUCCGGUGCCGAUUUUAAAAAGGAGAAGCAUUUCAUGUGAACUCAUCCGGCAAUCGGCCAAGGCCGGCGGUAAAGCGCCGAAGGUGUACGGCAGGGUUUCCUGCUAAUCUCUCAGGCAAAAGGACAGAAUAUGUAAA